rnacentral:lncRNA from 1 species
CUUUAUGAUUCUGCAAACCAGAAAUAUGAUAGUUAAGGUUUCCCAAAUGAAUUUGGCUUAGAAUCCCAUUUGAAUGGAUGGCACAACUCUCUGCAACAGACUCCACAGAACAUCUGGGAGCCGCCUCCUUUUGUCAUAGCUUCGCAAAUGGUGAUGGACAUAAAAUCAGUGUUCCAGAAAAUGUGCCACGUUCCUCCGCUGGCUUCUUUCAGGAUAAUUCUCCUGCAUCCUACAUAGACUAA